rnacentral:misc_RNA from 1 species
AUGAAGAACGCAGCGAAAUGCGAUAAGUAAUGUGAAUUGCAGAAUUCAGUGGAUCAUCGAAUCUUUGAACGCACAUUGCGCCCGCUAGUAUUCUGGCGGGCAUGCCUGUCCGAGCGUCAUUUCAACCCUCAAGCCCCCGGGCUUGGUGUUGGGGAUCGGCGAGCCUCCGCGCCCGCCGUCCCCUAAAUCUAGUGGCGGUCUCGCUGUAGCUUCCUCUGCGUAGUAGCACACCUCGCACUGGGAAACAGCGCGGCCACGCCGUUAAACCCCCAACUUCUGAACGUUUGACCUCGGAUCAGGUAGGAAUACCCGCUGAACUUAAGCAUAUCAAUAAGCGGAGGA